ensembl:lncRNA
ACACGCUCAGACGUCUAGAGUUUGAUCUAUAGCAAACCUGAGGAACCAAAUGUUGUGGGGCGAAGCUUUAUGGCUCGUUAUUCAUCAGAUACCCUAGAAGAUGCGUUUGAUGUUAUCUUUUGGAGCACUUGAAGGCCAUGGUGUAUCAGGUGAAGAUGCGACACAUAAAUCAUCUCAAGGAAUGUAUCACUAACGCCAUUACAAGCAUAACUUCAACUAUGCUAAUGCAAGUUCAUCAACAGUGGAAAACACGUAUUAUGUGUUUUCAAAACAAUGACUAUCAUAUAGAGCACAUUAUAUAAAUAAAAAUGGUUGUCCAAC